rnacentral:tRNA from 1 species
GAGGGUAUAGCUCAGUAGUAGAGCAUGUGCUUGGUGUACGCGAGGUCCUGGGUUCAGUCCCCAGUACCUCCA